GAAGUACUUAAAAAAAAAAAAAAACUAGAUAUGAUGCCCAGAUCUUAGCAAGUCACCUUGGAUCUGGCUGUGAUUCAAAUGGCCACAACGGUUGGACAAGCCUCUGAGCUGAUGGACUACCAAGUAACAUAGCCUGAGAUCGAGUCAGCAUCUCUGUCAUUGAUGGGGUUUGAUAAGCCCGAACGAGACUUGAACCAUCAGUUGAGUCUCCUCUUGCUGUUGCUCUUUGCCAUGAGUGUGAGCUCAGACCUGAAAGAAUAUAAGCUCUUCCAGAUGCUUCAUAUACAUGCCUACUUGCCAUCCUCUCUUGCAUCUCCUUGAGCUCUGCAUCUAAUGCAAUGCAUAAUCGAUCAUGGGAUUUAGCUGAUAUAGUUUCUGACAAAACCCUUUGGCAAUUUUCAAGGAUAGAAACUGCACCAGCCAGAUCUCCCUGCUCAGCUGCAGUUUUUGCCUGUGACAUUGCCUCAGCUGCUUGAAGUCUGUUGUGUUGCCUGUCCACUUCGAUCGAGACGGCUGCUUCUCCAGAUAUUUCAGGUCUCUCAAGCCUAACUUCUUCAGUUUCUAAUGUUGCCAUUUCUUUAGUUAGAGGAUCCUUGUAAACACAUCUCACCUUCAUGAGUGGUGUUUGAUUCCCGGAAGACUCAGCUGGGACAUUGACUGAAACCAGAAAAUCCCUCUCUUCAUCAGCAUACAGAUCUCCAACAUCAAUAAAUCCUAUGCGAGCAUCAGCCAUCACACGACUUGGAUAACUUCCUGCUUUCAGUGAGCCAAGGUGGAUACUUGGGUGCACACACUCCACUGCCACCUGCAGCUCCUGCACCACAACGCUUAAAAGUCCCCCAAUGCAUUGUGCAAAUGCGUCCUGGAUCACAGCUUCAGUCUCAAUGAAAGAGAAGGUGCCUCCUGAAAUUUCUGAAAUUGAAUGCAUUGAUGAAGCAUCAUGAUCUGCACCAAAGCCAAAAGCAUGCACUGGAAUCUGGAACCCUGCUGUGUCACCACCAAUAGGCAAAGGGAGAAGCAACUGAUAAUUUGGAGAAGGUUGGUUACUACCAGAACCACUGACAGUAUAAGUAUCCUGCCCAUCUGAUAGCAGUAUUAUACUUGCCACAGGAUUCUUUUCCCUUCGGUCUUCCAUUACUUUCGCUCCCUUUCUCAGGCCUUCAGCAAUAUUAGUUCCACCAUUUGCAACCAAAGAAUUGACAGCUUGAAGUGCAUGCUGACGGCCCGUAUCAGACAUUCGACGGAGGGGGAAGAGGCGGCGGGCAGUGGAAGAAAAGGCGAUAACUGAGAGCCUGUCAUUGGAGCCAAGGUUCUGUAUUACGAACCCCAUGGCUCGUUUUAGCAAUGCUAGCUUUGUACCUGCCAUGCUACCACUGAUGUCAAGCACUGUGACUAGGUCGACUGGGGCACGAGGAGUUUGAGAGAGUUGAGGCAAGCUAGCCUGGUUUCUUCUGGGAUCUUGUCUUAUAAUUGUAGCAGCAGCUUUAAGAUUGACCAAGACAGUGAAGUUAUCAUACAACUUGGAUCGUGAUGCAGCCGAAACUUCUGGGAUUGUCUUGAUCUCUAUAGUUCUAGCAGAAGUGUAAUCUGCAGCAUUUUUAUUGCCAGUACUUCUAUCAGUGAACACAGGUUGGAGAUCUAAGGAUUCAUCAUCGUCAAAUACACUAGGUUCAGGAGAUUGAAGUAAUGGAACAAUGUGCCUUCGAUUCAAAUCUCGACGAGGAGGAGGUAACCGACGAACCACAGUCAUCAAAGCAUCAUUUCGAGGCCAACCUACUGCAUUGAUGGAUCCUCUUCCGGGCAAAGGGUCCAAACUGGGAGCCUGCAAGGGGAUUUCUUUCCAUUUUGCUCGGCAAACUGGACAAAUUUGGUUACCAUGUUUUACAUUUGAAGCAAUGCAAUGGAAAUGGAAGGAAUGUGAGCACUCAGCAGUGAAAAUAGCAUGUCCACCUCCUUGUUUCAUCUUGGUCAGGCAUAUCGAGCAGGUUUGCUUUGAUGAUUUGCUUCCACUCUUGGACAACCUUAAACCAUGUGAAGAUGGUGUAGGUGUCAUUGGCCUUGAGUCCCAAUUCGUAGGUGAAAGCAAAGCAGCAUCAGAUAGUCUCUCACUUGAGGGUGGCGGUGAAUCCUCUAGAGUUCUUGGUACAUACGUACAAAGAUUUAGACGCAAAGCUAACUUUGGUUUUCUCCAUUUGCUUCCCAUUUUACUUGAACUUCGACUUCAAAGUGAAAUCUUUCCAAAGAUUCAAGAAACGUAACAAGAAUCCAAGAAGUACAAUUUAACAACUCAAGAAACCAAAAGCAAGAAUGAAGAAAAAACAGAUCUCAAAAUGCUUUGAGCCAAGCAGCUUUCUUUAUUUUCUUGUUUUCUGGUUUCUUCUUUCUUGGAAUGGGAGAGAUAAUGGGUUUUUAACAAAAGUGCAAUGGAACACGAAAACCAAGAGGGGGAGAGGUCUAAUUUUGCUCUACUUUUUCAAGAGGGAAUUGUUUUGAGGGCAUAUUUCAUAGAGAAAUGUGGGUUUGAAAGGCUGAAAAGAUGUCAAAGGAAGGGACUGAGUCGCAACGGACGGAUGGGUUGAGAGUAGAGAGCAGACAUAGUCUUGACAAUGGUGUUCUUGACCGCCAUUGGAGAGAGAGAACGAGAGGGAAAGGUGGAUUCUUGAGAGAGUUGAGAGAGGAUUUUGACCUUUGGUGGCGUUGUUGGCUU
rnacentral:misc_RNA from 1 species